ensembl:snoRNA small nucleolar RNA SNORD45
GGUCAGGGAUGAGCGCUGGCCUGUCUUAUCUGAUCUGGAGUUGAUGUCUGUCUCAGCUUUAGCUCUAGAAUUACUCUGAGACCCG